AAUAAAAAGCAAAAAACCCUGUUGUAGAAAAGUUCAAACAUACAUUUUAUUCGGACCCUGCUACUGUGUACAAACGUACCCUGCGUUUCCAGCUUCAAACGAGAGUUCUGUAGCGUUCCUGAGAGUCAGGGAGCUGCCUGGCCAUGGUCCUGCCUCCUGGUCUGAGGCUGCAGCGAGCGGUGGCCCCUUAGAUCUGCAGGAAUUGCAAACUCUUGCAAAUGCCGUGAGCUGGAGGCUCAGUUCUUUGUGGGCUGGAGGAUUUAGUACCCUGCACCCCCAACCCCUGGUCUCUCCAGAGGGCUGCUCACAGCAGGGUAGCUGGCUUCUCCCAGGUGAGGCCUCAGAGACAGAUGGACAGAGAUCUAGAACCCGCGAAACAGCAAGCCCUCCAGACAAAGCUGCACUGUCUCUCACAGCCUACAUCUCAGAAGCAAAGUCACUUCUGCACUCUUCUGGUCACACAGACCUGCCCUAGGACAGUGUAGGAGGGGACCACGGAGAUGAGAGUGCCAGCAGGUGGGGCCGUUGGGCCUGUCUUGGAGGUGGCCCACCAUGUGCACCCAAGUAGAAAGGUUUUGUGGACCCGGUGCACCUGCCACCUAGCCUCAGCAGUUACCAGCCGAGGGCCUCCCCAUACACGCAGCGGGUUUGAAGCAAACCUCAGAGGUGAUUUCCACCAUAAAUAUUUCAGCACGUGUUUAUUUCAAAGGAAGGGGAUCCCUGCUGGGGAGAAACAAGCCACAGAAACAUUAUCUACCCGGUCCGGGGACCUACUGCUAUGUAAGGAACCGCUCCAAAAUGGAGUGGCUUGGAGCAGUGAUUCACAGCUCUCUCUGCUGUUCUGCCGGCAGAGUGAGCUCCCCUGGGGCUCUCCCCAAGCUGCAGUGAGGUCGGGUCCAUGCGGGGGUCCCAUCAGAUGGUGCUCAGCUAACGCUGCCGGCCCGAGGCCCUUCCACACGACUUCUGCGGGAUCUCGGCAGCUGGAUUCCAAGAGCAAAUGUUCUGAGACACCUGUUGGCAAGUCUCUGUGUGAACCACCGGGAAGUGCCGGAAACCAAACAACUGCAGCUUUUCACUGGUCAAGCCCAAGACAAGCUGGCCCAGGUUUAAGCAGGGAGUUAGAUUUCACCUCUCUCAACGCGGAGAAAAGCAAAGCCGUCUCUCGCAGAGCCUGGCAACCACUGUCCUGCUUUCUGUACCCACGAAUCUGCCUUUCCUGAGCGUUGCAUCUCUGUCCCACGGAGUCCUGUAGCUCCAGUGACCCUGUUCCAGUCCGUCCAUGGCAGAGAAGGCGUCGUUUGUGCUGUUUAUUGGGAUAAGGAUAAUAAAGAAAAGAACGUGCAAACGAAACCACAGGGAGACACCUCUUCACACCUGCUGGGUGGCUGAGAUUGAGCAGACAGGGCGAGCCGGGAACCUCGCGCCCCGCCCGCGGGGGUGCGGGGAAGCAUGUGCUGGCGCUGCCCUCCGGCCCAGCGCCUCCCGUCCCAGAGCGCUGAGGACAUAUGUUCACGGAAGACCGUGUGCACGUUUCCAGCAGCCCAUUGCGGGAACACCCCAUAGGCAGGUCCCCGGACAGUGCGGGUAACAAAGCCGUCCAUCAUCAGGGGGUCUGGCAAGAAAAACACUGAAGUGUCCAUUCGUGCUGGAAAACGGAUGAACUUUGAACACAUGACGCCAAGUUAAGGAAGCCAGACGCAGAGGUCACGUGUGGUACGAUUCCAUUUACACGCAGUGUCCCAGAUCGGCAAAUCCGCAGACAGAAAAUGGGCUGGCACAUGCCAGGGACCGGGGGAGGUGAUGAGGGAGUAACUGCUAGUGGGUUUGUUUUUGGGGUGAUGAAAAUAUUCUGGAAUUUGAAUGUGCUGUUGGAUUAUGACCCUGUGAAUAAAGUCACUGUAAAAUUAAAAUUUUACAUUCCA